GAUCCUGGCUCAGGAUGAACGCUAGCUACAGGCUUAACACAUGCAAGUCGAGGGGAAACGGACAUCGAAAGCUUGCUUUUGAUGGGCGUCGACCGGCGCACGGGUGAGUAACGCGUAUCCAACCUGCCCACCACUUGGGGGAUAACCUUGCGAAAGUAAGACUAAUACCCAAUGAUAUCUCUAGAAGACAUCUGAAAGAGAUUAAAGAUUCAUCGGUGAUGGAUGGGGAUGCGU
rnacentral:rRNA from 1 species